AUUGAACGCUGGCGGCAGGCCUAACACAUGCAAGUCGAACGGUAACAGGAAGAAGCUUGCUUCUUUGCUGACGAGUGGCGGACGGGUGAGUCAUGUCUGGGAAACUGCCUGAUGGAGGGGGAUAACUACUGGAAACGGUAGCUAAUACCGCAUAACGUCGCAAGCCCAAAGAGGGGGACCUUCGUGCCUCUUGCCAUCGGAUGUGCCCAGAUGGGAUUAGCUAGUAGGUGGGGUAACGGCUCACCUAGGCGACGAUCCCUAGCUGGUCUGAGAGGAUGACCAGCCACACUGGAACUGAGACACGGUCCAGACUCCUACGGGAGGCAGCAGUGGGGAAUAUUGCACAAUGGGCGCAAGCCUGAUGCAGCCAUGCCGCGUGUAUGAAGAAGGCCUUCGGGUUGUAAAGUACUUUCAGCGGGGAGGAAGGGAGUAAAGUUAAUACCUUUGCUCAUUGACGUUACCCGCAGAAGAAGCACCGGCUAACUCCGUG
rnacentral:rRNA from 1 species